UAUAUCGAUCCACCUUACACUGUAUUGU
rnacentral:piRNA from 1 species